rnacentral:lncRNA from 1 species
GACAUCGACUGCUUUGCACUGUGAUAAUGAUCACCAUGAGCCACUAUAAAAAUAACUUUUUUUGUGUUUGUCUGUGUGUAUAAAAUAUUUUCCACAGCACAGAGGUGACUCUGGGCUGCAACAGCCUGUUAAAUUCAAGCCCAAAUGAAGUGACUCGGACAGUGGUCGCUACCGUCUGGCAUCCUGAAUUCAAUUCAUCGACUCGUGAGAACGACAUUUGUGUUUUGAAGCUGUCGGCUCCUGUAAAUUUCACAGACUACAUUCAGCCGAUCUGCUUAGCCUCAGAAAACAGCACUUACAACAAUGAGACCAGCAGCUGGAUCAUCGGUUUCAAUUUUGAUGGUAGUUAUAUGAUAUUUAUUUUCUUUUACGGUAUUGUGUUGGAGUCAUUAGAAAGGCUUGAUCUCUGAAUUCUCUCCAAUUUAGGUGAUGGCCUCCAGGAAGCAAAUGUAGGAAUAGUAGAAAACAAUGAGUGCAAACUCAGCCAUCCAGGGAUCAAAGAGAACAUGAUCUGUGCUGGAGAGACGGAUUUAUGUUUGAGGACCACAGGGGGACCACUCAUGACCGAAAGCGAUUCAGUCUGGGUCCAAGGUGGAGUUUACAGUGUAUUGGACUGCACUGGAGCUCCUAAAAUCUACACUCGUGUGUCCCAGUACCAGAAAUGGAUCAGCGACACAGUUACAGGGAGACCACCAGUCUUUGUUACCUUCACCUCCCCAGACAGUUCAUCACAAACCACUGCCCCUCCCACUGCUCAUCCCACUGCACCAACCACUGCUCCGAUAUGUGACAGUUUGUUUUGCAGUGGUGAAAACUUGAUCCACUUCACCUCACUUUGUGUUCUUGUUGUGUUGCUCCAUGUGUUUGCUGGAACUGGUGGAAAGUAG